GCCCUGGUGGAUCAAGAUAGAUCAUCCCUUUCGGGUUAGAAUUCGCAAAUAAAACUUGUCUAGGGGAGAUGGAGGUUCGAUUCCUCCUCAGGGCA